UGGGGAUUAUUGCACAAUGGGCGCAAGCCUGAUGCAGCCAUGCCGCGUGUGUGAAGAAGGCCUUCGGGUUGUAAAGCACUUUCAGCGGGGAGGAAGGCGUUAAGGUUAAUAACCUUGGCGAUUGACGUUACCCGCAGAAGAAGCACCGGCUAACUCCGUGCCAGCAGCCGCGGUAAUACGGAGGGUGCAAGCGUUAAUCGGAAUUACUGGGCGUAAAGCGCACGCAGGCGGUCUGUCAAGUCGGAAGUGAAAUCCCCAGGCUCAACCUGGGAACUGCAUUCGAAACUAGCAGGCUAGAGUCUUGUAGGGGAGGGUAGAAUUCCAGGUGUAGCGGUGAAAUGCGUAGAGGUCUGGAGGAAUACCGGUGGCGAAGGCGGCCCCCUGGACAAAAACUGACGCUCAGGUGCGAAAGCGUGGGGAGCAAACAGG
rnacentral:rRNA from 1 species